UUGAUACAAAAUGAGCUGGUGAGCACAAGCCUAAUUAACAUGACCAAGGGGCCCUUAUGUUUUCUUCUUGAUUCCUUAGUUUACGUUUUGCAAAUGUUUGGUCUCAUUCGUCACUCUGAGUAGUAACGCAGCCUCUCUUUCCAGUACAAUAACUCAAUGCCCCCUCCGGCCCAAAGAAUUAGCCCUGCUGAUCCAUUUUCCACCGUACCAACCUCCAUUUUCUUUAACCAUGAGCAUAUGUCUAGCGUGCGACUUGGUGGGAGAUGCAGGGUGCCUUGACUUAACGUUGGCAUUGAUCAUGCCUCCUCUUGGAGUUUUCAGGAAAAGAGGAACUAAGAGUGAAUUCUGGCUCAGUAUUUGCCUGACCUUGGCAUUGUUCUUGCCAGGAAGCAUCUAUGCUUUCAACAUCGUUACAUCCAAGGAAAACAAUGGAACAAAAUAAAUUGUGAUUCGGUCAAUAGAUUAUGUGUCUAAAGCAGUAACGUAGAGCCCAUUCGGCCCCAAUUUGAAUGGAUUUAGAGGCCUAAAUUCAAUCAGGUGAUAGCUGCAGACAAAGGAUUUACCAAAUCAGUGUCACCUUGUGCUUUGACGUUUUCUUCUUGGAACCGUGCUAUUGGCAUGUUUAAGCAUUAAGAUGUUAGAACGUGUAUAUUCUAAACAUCAAAUAUCACCAGGAAUCACGGAUAACAUGAAACAAAACAGAAAAUUCCAUUGAGAA